AUCCUUCAAGAUGCCACAGAUGUUGAUACUGGUUUCUGUUCCCGCUGGUUUGUCCGUCGGCCCAGAUAGGCGGCACAAUCAUGUCUGGUAUAUGAAUAGAGGACCAACUUUGAGACUGACAAAGGUAACUCCAGAGGCUAGCAACAUUGUAGUACGGUGACUGGCAACUUUUCAACUGACAACGUGUCAUAA